UGUACGGAGAGUUUGAUCCUGGCUCAGGGCGAACGCUGGCGGCGUGCCUAAAACAUGCAAGUCGAGCGGGGGUUGGCCGCGGGGCAACCCGCGGUUUCAGCUCUAGCGGCGAACGGGCGUGAACGAGCGCACCAUGAACGGAAUGUGCCCGGUGACCGAUGAGUGAGGCCCUGUGCCCUACU
rnacentral:rRNA from 1 species